GACGUAGGGUGCAAGCGUUGUCCGGAUUUACUGGGCGUAAAGAGCGCGUAGGCGGCUCGUUAAGUGAGAAGUGAAAGCUCUUGGCUCAACCAAGAAACCGCUUUUCAUGCUGGCGAGCUAGAGUGAUGCAGAGGUGGAUAGAAUUCCCGGUGUAGCGGUGAAAUGCGUUGAUAUCGGGAGGAAUACCCGUGGCGAAGGCGGUCCACUGGGCAUCAACUGACGCUGAGGCGCGAAAGCGUGGGUAGCAAACAGG
rnacentral:rRNA from 1 species